AUACGUAGGGGGCGAGCGUUGUCCGGAAUGAUUGGGCGUAAAGGGCGCGUAGGCGGCCUGUUAAGUCUGGAGUGAAAGUCCUGUUUUCAAGAUGGGAAUUGCUUUGGAUACUGAUGGGCUUGAGUGCAGGAGAGGUUAUCGGAAUUCCCGGUGUAGCGGUGAAAUGCGUAGAGAUCGGGAGGAACACCAGUGGCGAAGGCGAGUUUCUGGCCUGCAACUGACGCUGAGGCGCGAAAGUGUGAGGAUCGAAAAGGAUUAGAUACCCUGGUAGUCCGCACUGUAAACAAUGAAUGCUAGCUGUAAGACGUAUCGACCCGUGUUGUGCCGGAGUUAACACAAUAAGCAUUACGCCUGCGGAGUACGGCCGCAAGCUGGUAACGCAAAUGAAUUGGCGGG
rnacentral:rRNA from 1 species